rnacentral:siRNA from 1 species
GUUCACGAUUCUGAUUCCGGCGC